AUAAUUAAUGGGAACACGUGAAGUGUGUGUGUGUGUGGGUGUGUGUGUGAGUGUGUGGCUGUGUGUGUGUGUUUGGGUGGGUGUUUGGUUGUUACACCACAAGCCACCAGCACAUGCCAUGCCAGUGCAAGUGUGUGUGAUGUCAUAAACUGUACAUGCACACUUAUUCAUCAUUGGACCGAGGGGAAGGCAACUCCUGUCAACAAGUUCCAAGGCCGAAGUUGGAUGUUUAAAAUUGACCUUACAUAGGAUAAAAAUAUUAUAUUUACAAUUAUGCAUAUACUAUAUAUAUCGAAGUUUUUCCACAUUAUUGCACAAUGACAAUUUCCCUUUGUUUGUUUAAACUGUACAUACUAGAGAUCAGCUGAAAUUUAAAGAUUUCCAAUUGACGAAAUGUAACUUAUUUGAUGAGUGUAAUCAAAAUUUAAAGCCUGUAUGAAGUGAUGGUUACUGAACAGUGUGCCACUGUGGAUUUGCCUACCCCUUAAUGUGUUUUUCGUCUCAUGCUAACACUAUUACGAGCAUGUGUAUAAUUUUACGUAGCAUCGAAUAGAAAUAAAAGCUUAUGGUUCAUAUUGUA